rnacentral:tRNA from 1 species
GCGCUCUUAGCUCAGCCGGAUAGAGUAGCUGACUUCGAAUCAGUUGGUCGGGGGUUCGAAUCCCUCAGGGCGCA